rnacentral:rRNA from 1 species
GACGAACGCUGGCGGCGUGCUUAACACAUGCAAGUCGAACGGAAAGGCCCUGCUUGCAGGGUACUCGAGUGGCGAACGGGUGAGUAACACGUGGGUGAUCUGCCCUGCACUUCGGGAUAAGCCUGGGAAACUGGGUCUAAUACCGGAUAGGAGCCAUUUUUAGUGUGAUGGUUGGAAAGUUCUUUCGGUGUAGGAUGAGCUCGCGGCCUAUCAGCUUGUUGGUGGGGUAAUGGCCUACCAAGGCGGCGACGGGUAGCCGGCCUGAGAGGGUGGACGGCCACAUUGGGACUGCGAUACAGCCCAGACUCCUACGGGAGGCAGCAGUGGGGAAUAUUGCACAAUGGGCGCAAGCCUGAUGCAGCGACGCCGCGUGGGGGAUGACGGCCUUCGGGUUGUAAACUCCUUUCGCUAGGGACGAAGCUUUUUGUGACGGUACCUAGAUAAGAAGCACCGGCUAACUACGUG